AUUGAACGCUGGCGGCAGGCCUAACACAUGCAAGUCGAGCGAGCGGCGGACGGGUGAGUAAUGUAUGGGGACUGCCCGAUAGAGGGGGAUAACUACUGGAAACGGUGGCUAAUACCGCAUACUAUCGGAUAACCCAUAUGGGAUUGGCUAGUAGGUGGGGUAAAGGCUCACAUAGGCGACGAUCUCUAGCUGGUCUGAGAGGAUGAUCGUCCACACUGUGACUGAGACACGGCCCAGACUCCUCCGGAGGCAGCAGUGGGAAAUGUUGCACAAUGGGCGCAAGCCUGAUGCAGCCAUGCCGCGUGGAUGAAGAAGGCCUUAGGGUUGUAAAGUACGUUCAGCGGGGAGGCGUUACCCGAAGAAGAAGCACCGGCUAACUCCGUGCCAGCAGCCGCGGUAAUUC
rnacentral:rRNA from 1 species